rnacentral:rRNA from 1 species
CACACCAACGCUUGCGUUGCCACACGAAUGGAACAGCUUAGGAUAUCUCUAAUCGACCACACGAUGGCUUCAUCUCCUCCAUCUUCCACCGUGAUCCAUAUGCCUCUAAGUCCAAACACCAACGGCCAGCCGACGGCUCCGGCAACGCCCAAGGACGCCGGUGACGUCCCAACUACGGCGCCAGCAGCAGCCAGCGCGACGGACAAGCCGCCUACGGUGCCAGCAGCAGCCAUGGCGACGGACAAGGUCAUGUCAAGCGCGGCGAACCUCGCGCAGCUCCUGCCGACGGGCACGGUGCUGGCGUACCAGGCGCUGUCCCCAUCCUUCACCAACCACGGCAAGUGCUUCUCCUCCAAUCAGUGGCUCACCGCGGCGCUGGUCAUCGUCCUCACCAUCUCGUGCGUCCUCUUCUCCUUCACCGACAGCGUCCUCGGCCGCGACCAGAAGCUCUACUACGCCAUCGCCACGCCACGCGGUUUCAACGUCUUCAACUUCUCAGACGAAGAGGAGACGCUGCAGUGGACUCCCGCCGAGUUCCGGAGGCUCCGCAUCCGGCCGCUCGACUUCGUACGUGCCGUCUUCACGGCCCUGGUGUUCCUCACGAUGGCUUUCAGCGACGUGGGGCUGCAGAACUGCUUCUUCCCCAACCCUGGCAUGAACACUCAGGAGCUUCUCAAGAACCUGCCUCUGGGCAUCGCGUUUCUGUCCAGUUUUGUGUUCAUGAUCUUCCCCACAAAAAGGAAGGGCAUCGGCUACAACGACACCACUCCUUGCCAAAAGCUCACUUGA